rnacentral:rRNA from 1 species
GCGCGAAAACUUUGCAAUGCGGGAAACCGUGACAAGGGAACUCUGAGUGCCCGUAAAAUCGGGCUGUCCAUCAGUUUAAAUAACUGGUGAAGAAAGGGCCGGGCAAGACCGGUGCCAGCCGCCGCGGUAAUACCGGCGGCUCGAGUGGUGGCCACUAUUACUGGGCUUAAAGCGUUCGUAGCUGGUUUGUUAAGUCUCUGGGGAAAUCUUCCGGCUUAACCGGAAGGCGUCUCAGGGAUACUGGCAGACUAGGGACCGGAAGAGGUGAGAGGUACUCCAGGNGUAGGA